AACGAACGCUGGCGGCAUGCCUAACACAUGCAAGUCGAACGAGACCUUCGGGUCUAGUGGCGCACGGGUGCGUAACGCGUGGGAACCGCCCUUAGGUUCGGAAUAACUCCCCGAAAGGGGUGCUAAUACCGGAUAAUGUCUUCGGACCAAAGAUUUAUCGCCUUUGGAUGGGCCCGCGUUGGAUUAGCUAGUUGGUAGGGUAAAAGCCUACCAAGGCGACGAUCCAUAGCUGGUCUGAGAGGAUGAUCAGCCACACUGGGACUGAGACACGGCCCAGACUCCUACGGGAGGCAGCAGUGGGGAAUAUUGGACAAUGGGCGAAAGCCUGAUCCAGCAAUGCCGCGUGAGUGAUGAAGGCCUUAGGGUUGUAAAGCUCUUUUACCCGGGAUGAUAAUGACAGUACCGGGAGAAUAAGCUCCGGCUAACUCCGUG
rnacentral:rRNA from 1 species